rnacentral:rRNA from 1 species
UACGAAGGGGGCGAGCGUUGUUCGGAAUUACUGGGCGUAAAGGGCGCGCAGGCGGCUCUGCAAGUCAGAUGUGAAAGCCCCGGGCUUAACCUGGGAAUUGCAUUUGAUACUCUGGAGCUUGAGUACGGGAGAGGAGAGUGGAAUUCCCAGUGUAGAGGUGAAAUUCGUAGAUAUUGGGAAGAACACCGGUGGCGAAGGCGGCUCUCUGGACCGUAACUGACGCUGAGGCGCGAAAGCGUGGGGAGCAAACAGG